CGGAGUAAAGAGUAAGGGAAACCAAUCUCAUGUUGCAGUCGACGACACCAGAUGAUUUUUUUGGCUACCAUAUAGCAUGCAAUGUACUUAGAGUAUGUAGUAUUACAGGUUUACGACCAAAGGAUAAAUCAAUUAACUCCCAAGUAUUGUUGUCUAACAAAGAAUCGAACUCCCCGUGCAUGGCAUUUUUCCAAUGUUCGUAAUACGGGGAAGCAAGCGCCUCCUGAUACGUUUGUGGUACUGCUAGAAGGAAUAUGAACGAAGACCUUCAGCCAAAAGGACGCAUGUGAGCGAGAGAUGGCUUCUUCCCUGUGUAUGCUGCAAAGGGUGUAACAGUGGGAAGAAGGCGAGAAUAAGUGUGUAAACAAUAUUGUCGACGGCCUCGGCCCAAAAAGCUGGAUCUAAACUGGCAUAGUGAAUAGUGCUUCGAACGGCCUCCAUUAUAGUACAAUUGUCUCGUUCUGAAACCAUAUUUUGUUUGGUGUAUAGGGUAUCGUGAGCUCAUGUUUGAUGCCUUCGGUGUGUAGGUAGUGAGUGAAUUUUUGACUGCAAAACUCUCCAGCCUUAUCGGUUUGUAGGGUGACCAAGACGAAGAUGCCACGUAUGGAGGUCUUGUAACUCGUCGAAGGAUGAUGUAUUGCCGAAAGAGUAAGCGUAAGAAACAGUAGCUAGCAAAAGAAGAAUGUAAGAGCCCUAGAUCCUGUGGCCCGUCAUGAUCAGAGUGUUAUUUUGAAUUAAUUCACAGGAAUUAUCCUUACAAA